AUGGAGAAGCUACAUUGGCGGUUGGGCUUAAAAGGUUUCGCUGGUGUUAGCUGUGAUGGUUUGAGUGGAGGCUUAGCGUUGUACUGGGAUGAUUCCCUUUCGGUGGUAGUGUUGGAUUCUUGUAAGCGAUACAUUGAUGUUCAGGUGAAGGACAUGAGUAACGAUACAUGCUGGCGGGGUACUUUUGUUUACGGCGAACCAAGAGUUGAGAAUAGGCAUGUCAUGUGGGAUAAUCUUACAACUCUACGUGCAACUUCAGCAGAUCCAUGGUUGGUUUGUGGUGACUUCAAUGAGGCUAUGUGGCAGCAUGAACACAUCUCACGUACUGCUCGAUCUGAAGUACAAAUGCAAGCCUUUCGGGACUGUCUAAACAUGUAUGAUAUUGUCGAUCUGGGGUUCUAG
rnacentral:rRNA from 1 species